ensembl:lncRNA
AGUAAUUACACCUUGUUUUAAGGAAGCCGGUAACUCCCCAUUUUCUAUUGAUUCGUGAAACAUAGCAAGAAUGAAAGGAAUCAAUUUAUCAUUGAAUGCUUUAUAAAACUCGCUUAUUAAACCAUCAUUUCCAGGGGACCUAUUGUCCUUAAGGCUUUUAAUACAGUCUUUUAUCUCAAUUUCAGGUAACUCAUCACAAAAAUCCCUGAAAUCAUUAUCUAUCUUAGCAAUGUUUGCAGCACGUCAUGCUCUUAUCAACUGAGCUACGAAGGAGCACGUCGAAGUCACUAGAAUGAUGACAAGCAAUUUUAAGGGAUUCUAAAGGGAAUCAGAAUUCCAAACUAAUUUCUAUGGCAACACAGUUGUCAAUUUUGUAAACAAUCAUUUUCGAACGUGUGUUGCCAAGAGACAUCUAACCGACGUUCUAUGGAACGUUUUCUGUGCGAAAACAACAACUUUGCUGCUGACAACAAACUUGUUUGAUUUUUGAGACCUGAGAACAAUCGACUGGAAAAUGCCUGGGUGCUUUUCAAGACUGGCGGAGAGAGUGCGUGGACGUCGGCGGCCUACUGCGUCGACAGGUUGUUCAAAUUCAUUUGUGGCUUGUUUUUCUUGUCUUUUUCUGUUUUGCAGGGUUCGUGAUCGUCGACAGGUGGACAGCGACUUCGAAGAGGAAACAACUGUCCUGGAUGAGGUCCAGUUGGAUGUGCCAUUGGAUGAUGUGCUAGAUGUUCCACAGCUGCCAGUCCUCCUUGAUGUCCAGAAUGCUGCUAUCAUCCUUGAGGAUGUGCCAGAUGUGCAGACUAUCCUUGAGGUACAAUUUUCUGAAAGUUUGGGGUUUUAUGUUUGAAAAAUAUCCCAGAUAUUCAAGUUGUGUCUCUUUAACAUGAAACACAUCUCUUGUCUGCUUUCUGCUUUAGGAGGCCACUGGCAUUUGGCAGUUGAUUCCGAUUAGGUUCAGCC